rnacentral:rRNA from 1 species
CCUACGGGAGGCAGCAGUGAGGAAUAUUGGUCAAUGGACGCAAGUCUGAACCAGCCAUGUCGCGUGAAGGAAGACGGCUCUAUGGUUUGUAAACUGCUUUUAUACGGGAAUAAAUCUAGACACGUGUGGCUGGUUGCAUGUACCUUAUGAAUAAGGAUCGGCUAACUCCGUGCCAGCAGCCGCGGUAAUACGGAGGAUUCGAGCGUUAUCCGGAUUUAUUGGGUUUAAAGGGUGCGUAGGUGGUUUGAUAAGUCAGAGGUGAAAGUUUGUGGCUCAACCCUAACAUUGCCGUUGAUACUGGCAGUCUUGAGUUUAGUUGCGGUAGGCGGAAUGCAUGGUGUAGCGGUGAAAUGCAUAGAUAUCACGCAGAACCCCGAUUGCGAAGGCAGCUUACUAAACUACGACUGACAUUGAUGCACGAAAGCGUGGGGAGCAAACAGGAUUAGAUACCCGUGUAGUC